ACGGGGUUNUAAUUGUAGUAAUACAAUUAUAGCUUAGUGGCGAACGGGUGCGUAACACGUGAGCAAUCUGCCGGGAAGUGUGGGAUAGCUCGCCGAAAGGCGAAUUAAUACCGCAUGUGGCUAGGGGUGACAUCACUCCGAAGCCAAAGUCGCAAGACGCUUCCUGAUGAGCUCGCGGCCUAUCAGCUAGUUGGUGAGGUAACGGCUCACCAAGGCAAUGACGGGUAGCUGGUCUGAGAGGACGACCAGCCACACUGGAACUGAGACACGGUCCAGACACCUACGGGUGGCAGCAGUCGAGAAUUUUUCACAAUGGGGGAAACCCUGAUGGAGCGACGCCGCGUGGAGGACGAAGGUCUUCGGAUUGUAAACUCCUGUCAUGCGGGAACAAGAAAGUGAUAGUACUGCAAGAGGAAGAGACGGCUAACUCUGUGCCAGCAGCCGCGGUAAUACAGAGGUCUCAAGCGUUGUUCGGAUUCAUUGGGCGUAAAGGGUGCGUAGGUGGCGUGGAAAGUUGAGUGUGAAAUCCUAGGGCUUAACCUUAGAACUGCACUCAAUACUCCCAUGCUAGAGGAAUGUAGAGGAGAGUGGAAUUCACGGUGUAGCAGUGAAAUGCGUAGAUAUCGUGAGGAAGACCAGUUGCGAAGGCGACUCUCUGGGCAUUUCCUGACACUGAGGCACGAAGGCCAGGGGAGCAAACGGGAUUAGAUACCCCGGUAGUCCUGGCAGUAAACGGUGCACAUUUGGUGUGGGCGGGUUCAGACCCCGUCCGUGCCGGANCUAACGCGUUAAAUGUGCCGCCUGGGAAGUACGGUCGCAAGAUUAAAACUCAAAGAAAUUGACGGGGGCCCGCACAAGCGGNGGAGUAUGUGGCUUAAUUCGAUGCAACGCGAA
rnacentral:rRNA from 1 species